AUGGGUGAUAGUAAUAAAAAAUACUUCCAAUUGAUCGCCAAUGGGCGGCAAAGGAAAAAAUGUAUUUACAGUCUCCAACAAGAUGAGGGGCGGAUCGAAGGACAGGAGGAGCUCAAGAAGUAUAUCACCAAGUACUACAAAUCUCUGUUUGGAGCGUCAGUUGAAGGGAACUUCACCCUUGACAAGACCCGAACGGAUGAUAUUCCACAAGUCACGGCAGAAAAAAAUGAUAUCCUAACGGCAGCAUUCUCGGAAGAGGAGGUGAAAGCGGCGGUGUUCCAAAUGGAACAUAACAAAGCUCCAGGGCCAGAUGGUUUCCCCGCAGAAUUCUAUCGGAAUUUUUGGGAUAUCAUCAAGACCGACCUUUUGGAUUUGUUCAAUUGUCUUCAUGCCGACCAACUAGACCUAUUUAGACUUAAUUUUGGCGAGAUUGUCUUGUUGCCCAAGAUUAAGGAGGCCGAACGGAUCCAACAGUUCAGGCCCAUAUGCCUCCUUAAUGUUAGCUUCAAGAUUUUCACCAAAGUGAACAUGAGUGGAGUAGUAUUCAAAAUUGACUUUGAAAAAGCCUAUGACAAGGUCAAAUGGUCUUUCCUCCAACAAGCCCUAAGAAUGAAAGGUUUCUCCGAUAAAUGGCAUCAGUGGGUCCAAAAUUUUGUAACCGGAGGUAGUGUGGCCAUCAAAGUCAAUGAUGAUGUAGGCCAUUACUUUCAGACAAAAAAAGGACUACGACAGGGUGACUCCAUGUCUCCAAUGUUAUUUAACAUUGUUGCUGACAUGUUGGCUAUUCUGAUUGAGCGUGCUAAGCAGGACGGCCAGAUAGAAGGAGUAGUGCCA
rnacentral:rRNA from 1 species